rnacentral:rRNA from 1 species
CCUACGGGAGGCAGCAGUGAGGAAUAUUGGUCAAUGGACGGAAGUCUGAACCAGCCAUGCCGCGUGCAGGAAUACGGCUCUAUGAGUUGUAAACUGCUUUUGUACAAGGGUAAACCUGAAUCCGUUUAUUCAGCUGAAAGAACUGUACGAAUAAGGAUCGGCUAACUCCGUGCCACCAGCCGCGGUAAUACGGGGGGUCCAAGCGUUAUCCGGGUUUAUGGGGUUAAAAGGGUCGGUAGUGGGAAUGCCACGUCAGCGGGAAAAGCCCGGGGCUCAACCUCGCUCCGCCGUUGAAACUGGCGUGCUGGAGUGGGCGAGAGGCAGGCGGAAUGCGUGGUGUAGCGGUGAAAUGCAUAGAUAUCACGAAGAACCCCGAUGGCGAAGGCAGCAUACCGGCGCCCAACUGACGCUGAGGCACGAAAGCGUGGGUAUCGAACAGGAUUAGAUACCCCUGUAGUC